GAUGAACGCUAGCGACAGGCCUAACACAUGCAAGUCGAGGGGCAGCACGAAUCAAGCUUGCUUGAUUUGGUGGCGACCGGCGCACGGGUGCGUAACAGGUGUGCAAUCUGUCCAUAAUCGGGGAAUAGCCCAGCGAAAGUUGGAUUAAUGCUCCAUGUGAGUUUUAGAGGCAUCUCUUUAAUUUGAAACGCAAGGAUUAUGGGUGAGCACGCUUCUGAUUAGGUAGUUGGUGAGGUAACGGCUCACCAAGCCGACGAUCAGUAGGGGUUCUGAGAGGAAGGUCCCCCACAUUGGAACUGAGACACGGUCCAAAAUCCUACGGGAGGCAGGAGUGAGGAAUAUUGGUCAAUGGACGAAAGUCUGAACCAGCCAAGUCGCGUGAAGGAUGAAGGUUCUAUGGAUUGUAAACUUCUUUUGUCUGAGGGUAAAAAAGCGGACGUGUCCGUUCUUGCAAGUAUCAGACGAAUAAGCAUCGGCUAACUCCGUGCCAGCCGCCGCCGUAACAC
rnacentral:rRNA from 1 species